rnacentral:piRNA from 1 species
UUUGCAAAUUCUACAAAAAAC